rnacentral:rRNA from 1 species
CAGCAACCACGGUAAUACCGAGGGUGCGAGCGUUAAUCGGAUUUACUGGGCGUAAAGCGUGCGUAGGCGGCUUCUUAAGUCGGAUGUGAAAUCCCUGAGCUUAACUUAGGAAUUGCAUUCGAUACUGGGAAGCUAGAGUAUGGGAGAGGAUGGUAGAAUUCCAGGUGUAGCGGUGAAAUGCGUAGAGAUCUGGAGGAAUACCGAUGGCGAAGGCAGCCAUCUGGCCUAAUACUGACGCUGAGGUACGAAAGCAUGGGGAGCAAACAGGAUUAGAUACCCCCGUAGUCCCUGUCUCUUAACA